CUCGAAGCUGUAUCCAAAACAAACACUCACUGUCGAGCUGGUUUUGAAGGCAUGUAUCGACUCUGAGGAAUCUGUAGCCCGCAAAUCAUGUGAAUCAGCUUUUCUACGGCAUGACCUUCAUACAGAGACUCCCAGACUCGCCGAUUGGCUCAUAGUUACACAGUUUUCCUGACGAUUGGUUCAUGGGAGUGCGUCAGGUCUCAAUAGAGCCUGAACCUUGUAACCAAGGGGGGGGAAUAAAGUUAGCAGGAAAACUUUGACAAGAGACGCAAAUUUGGAGAUCUGGACAAGUGCACGGUUACACUGGAACUAUGAAAAGUUUCAAACAACGACUUAAGAAAAAUGAGAGCACAGACUGGGGAAAGUAUGAUGAGCGUCUGAUGAAGGCAGCAGAGAAUGGAGAUAUAGAGAAACUCACAGCCACACUCAAGAAAGGAACCAGCCCCACCAAACUAGACCCUGAGGGCCAUUCUGCGUCAGCUGUUUUUAAAGGGGUUGUUAUGCAUUAGGUGUGUCAGGCCUAUGACAGGAUUUCAGUCAUGUCCUGUUUUUGUUAAAGAUUUUGUACCUGCUAACGUUUUUCUGUCAAAAAGAAUAUAUGUAUUUUCUUGCCUGGACCUUUCCAAUAAAAUGGAAUAAGGAAAGUUUUAAUUUUUCCUGUGCAUUUGAUUUUCAUUCCUUUAAGAUUUAAUGUUAUGCUCCACAGUGUUGUCUAUACUCAUUCCUACAUCUGGCUGAUCCUUCUUUUGUCCUCUAUUUCACUUUUCAAAUACCAGCAGUCUUAGUGAUUUAAUAAACACUGAUGCCUCAUGCCUAUUUUGUAUCUAAGCUCAAGGAGUGGCUGCGUCUAUUUUCUGUUGAAACAGGCCUCGGCUGCUAUGUUACUGCAUGUUUCUUUUCAUGUUUUUUGGCUCUUAAUACAUCCUCAUAUAAUAAAUCACUGGUAAACUCACCUAUAUGUUGUUGAUUUUCAUAGAAGUAUGAUAAUAUUAAUUGUCUGAAUAUAUGCACUGAUAUACAUUAUUCAUGUUGCAUUUAAAACCCCUAAACUAAGUUUACUUCAAUAUAUUACAAUUGAAUACUAAUCUAAUCAUGACAAACUAAAUACCGUUGGAAAGAUCCAAGACUUUUAAAUAGAUAUUUUACCACUGUUUGUUGUUAAGUGUUGUAAUGUAGGAGCAGUAAUAGAUUAAUUUAUGACAAGAGUGCACCUCAAAACAUAUACACCAGAACUGGAGCUCUGACCUUUGUCACAAAGAAUCUAUUUGUUUCCUUUUUUCCCAUCACAUGUUUUAGUAUUCAUCAUUUAUAUAAUUUGAAAGCUUAAAACCUCAAAAUUCAUCCUGUGAAAUCGGAUAUUAUGUUACCAUAGAAAUGGUUCUUUAAUAUAUUUCAGCAGGCUCCUCCCCCUUAGUGCAGGGUGUCAUAUUACAUAAGGUAUUAUGGUCUUUUGGAAUCAAAAGUUUUUAGAAUCUUAUUAAGAAUCUUAACAAAAUACAUAUCAUCGUAAAGUCGUAAGUCUCAAGAUUCCAUAAUUGGGGGUUAUUUUGUGAUAGGAAAUGUAUAAGAUCUAUUAAUAAUGUAUAAAAUAUAAGAAAUGUAUACAUUUGUGACAGAGUAAUGCAUAAAAAUGUGGUAUAACGCCGAAACAGAAUAGCAUAGUAACCUAAAUUUUUUAUAUAUCAACUUCAAAUUUGGAACACAACUUAUUUAA